CAAUAGCGUAUAUUUAAGUUGUUGCAGUUAAAAAGCUCGUAGUUGGAUUUCGGAUGGGACUUGCCGGUCCGUCGUUUCGAUGUGCACUGGCCAGUCCUAUCUUGUUGUCGGGGACUAGCUCCUGGGCUUCACUGUCCGGGACUAGGAGCUGACGAAGUUACUUUGAGUAAAUUAGAGUGUUCAAAGCAAGCCUACGCUCUGAAUACAUUAGCAUGGAAUAACACGAUAGGACUCUGGCUUAUCUUGUUGGUCUGUGAGACCAGAGUAAUGAUUAAGAGGGACAGUCGGGGGCAUUCGUAUUUCAUUGUCAGAGGUGAAAUUCUUGGAUUUAUGAAAGACGAACUUCUGCGAAAGCAUUUGUCAAGGAUGUUUUCAUUAA
rnacentral:rRNA from 1 species